rnacentral:miRNA from 1 species
UAUGUAUUUUCAGACCUGAGU